rnacentral:rRNA from 1 species
AUUCGCCCUUAGAGUUUGAUCCUGGCUCAGGACGAACGCUGGCGGCGUGCUUAACACAUGCAAGUCGAACGGUGAACCACAGACGGAGACUUCGGUCAACUGAAGUGGGAAUCAGUGGCGGACGGGUGAGUAACGCGUGAGUAACCUGCCUUUCAGUGGGGAAUAACAUUUGGAAACGAAUGGUAAUACCGCAUAACAUUACGAAACCGCAUGAUUUUGUAAUCAAAGAUUUAUUGCUGAAAGAUGGACUCGCGUCCGAUUAGCUUGAUGGUGAGGUAACGGCCCACCAUGGCGACGAUCGGUAGCCGGACUGAGAGGUUGAACGGCCACAUUGGGACUGAGACACGGCCCAGACUCCUACGGGAGGCAGCAGUGGGGAAUAUUGCACAAUGGGGGAAACCCUGAUGCAGCAACGCCGCGUGAAGGAAGACGGUCUUCGGAUUGUAAACUUCUGUUCUUAGUGAAGAUAAUGACGGUAGCUAAGGAGCAAGCCACGGCUAACUUACGUGCCCAGCAGCCGCGGUAAUACGUAGGUGGCAAGCGUUGUCCGGAAUUACUGGGUGUAAAGGGAGCGCAGGCGGGAAAUCAAGUUGGAUGUGAAAUGUCGGGGCUUAACCCCGGAACUGCAUCCAAAACUGAUUUUCUUGAGUGAAGUAGAGGUAGGCGGAAUUCCGAGUGUAGCGGUGAAAUGCGUAGAUAUUCGGAGGAACACCAGUGGCGAAGGCGGCCUACUGGGCUUUAACUGACGCUGAGGCUCGAAAGUGUGGGGAGCAAACAGGAUUAGAUACCCUGGUAGUCCACACUGUAAACGAUGAUUGAUAGGUGUG